UCCCUGUGUACUUGAGGAUGUUACAGGCCUUCUGAAGGCUCUGCUGUGACCCAGCGCUGCAUGGCAUGGUUCAGCAUGGAAGCUUGUGCUUCUCUGGACUCAGAGCUGGCUGUGCUCCAGAGCAGCCCCAUCGCACAAAGAAGAACAGCUUGAGGGUUACUUUCAAUUACCAUAAAUCGCUAAAGGCUCAAAAUAUGUUGUAAAGCUGGUGUGUGUUGUUAAGCCUCAAAAUAUGUUCC